GACCCCCGUGAUAAAUUAUGGCUGUGACUCCCACAGCUGUCUGAUGCUGGGCACCAUGCAGGGAUAUAUGUUACCAUACAGAGACAUAAAGCUGGGAAAUGGAGCAGCAUCCCAUUCAUUCAGAUUGCUAUUCUGUGUGUUAUUAUUCUGUAUGAUGCCUUCACUAUUCAAGAAUCAAGUUUCUUCACCUGCAUGCAAUCUCCGUAUAACUGAACCAUAUGAAGAAUAUGAGUACUUUAAAGAUGGUGACAUUAUAAUUGGAGGAAUAUUCACUGUGAACAGAGAUACACAUUGGUUACCAACUACGAAUCAGUACGUUGUUGAGAAUAAAGUUUUGUCAAUAAUUUGUUUA